AUCAAAUGGAGAGUUUGAUCCUGGCUCAGGAUGAACGCUGGCGGCAUGCCUAAUACAUGCAAGUCGAACGAAGUCUUCAGGAAGCUUGCUUCCAAAAAGACUUAGUGGCGAACGGGUGAGUAACACGUAGGUAACCUG
rnacentral:rRNA from 1 species